rnacentral:rRNA from 1 species
CGAGCGGAACGAUGGAAGCUUGCUUCCAGGCGUCGAGCGGCGGACGGGUGAGUAAUGCAUAGGAAUCUGCCCGAUAGUGGGGGAUAACGUGGGGAAACUCACGCUAAUACCGCAUACGUCCUACGGGAGAAAGCAGGGGAUCUUCGGACCUUGCGCUAUCGGAUGAGCCUAUGUCGGAUUAGCUAGUUGGUGAGGUAACGGCUCACCAAGGCGACGAUCCGUAGCUGGUCUGAGAGGAUGAUCAGCCACACUGGGACUGAGACACGGCCCAGACUCCUACGGGAGGCAGCAGUGGGGAAUAUUGGACAAUGGGGGAAACCCUGAUCCAGCCAUGCCGCGUGUGUGAAGAAGGCCUUCGGGUUGUAAAGCACUUUCAGCGAGGAAGAAGGCCUGAGGGCUAAUACCCUUCAGGAAGGACAUCACUCGCAGAAGAAGCACCGGCUAACUCCGUGCCAGCAGCCGCGGUAAUACGGAGGGUGCGAGCGUUAAUCGGAAUUACUGGGCGUAAAGCGCGCGUAGGUGGCUUGAUAAGCCGGUUGUGAAAGCCCCGGGCUCAACCUGGGAACGGCAUCCGGAACUGUCAGGCUAGAGUGCAGGAGAGGAAGGUAGAAUUCCCGGUGUAGCGGUGAAAUGCGUAGAGAUCGGGAGGAAUACCAGUGGCGAAGGCGGCCUUCUGGACUGACACUGACACUGAGGUGCGAAAGCGUGGGUAGCAAACAGGAUUAGAUACCCUGGUAGUCCACGCCGUAAACGAUGUCGACUAGCCGUUGGGUUCCUUGAGAACUUUGGUGGCGCAGUUAACGCG